AUCCAGCUGACGAGUCCCGAAUAGGACGAAACGCGUGUACUGGGU
rnacentral:hammerhead_ribozyme from 1 species